rnacentral:rRNA from 1 species
AUUGAACGCUGGCGGCAGGCCUAACACAUGCAAGUCGAGCGAGCGGCGGACGGGUGAGUAAUGUCUGGGAAACUGCCUGAUGGAGGGGGAUAACUACAGGAAACGGUAGCUAAUACCGCAUACCAUCAGAUGUGCCCCGAUGGGAUUAGCUAGUAGGUGGGGUAACGGCGCACCUAGGCGAAGAUCCCUAGAUGGUCUGAGAGGGUUAACAGCCACCCUGGAACUGAGACACGUUCCAGAUUCCUACGGGAGGCAGCAGUGGUGAAUAUUGCACAAUGGGCGCAAGCCUGAUGCAGCCAUGCCGCGUGUGUGAAGAAGGCCUUCGGGUUGUAAAGCACUUUCAGCGGGGAGGCGUUACCCGCAGAAGAAGCACCGGCUAACUCCGUGCCAGCAGCCGCGGUAAUUC